rnacentral:rRNA from 1 species
AGUGAACGCUGGCGGUAGGCCUAACACAUGCAAGUCGAACGGCAGCACAGUAAGAGCUUGCUCUUACGGGUGGCGAGUGGCGGACGGGUGAGGAAUACAUCGGAAUCUACUUUUUCGUGGGGGAUAACGUAGGGAAACUUACGCUAAUACCGCAUACGACCUACGGGUGAAAGCAGGGGAUCUUCGGACCUUGCGCGUUUGAAUGAGCCGAUGUCGGAUUAGCUAGUUGGCGGGGUAAAGGCCCACCAAGGCGACGAUCCGUAGCUGGUCUGAGAGGAUGAUCAGCCACACUGGAACGGAGACACGGUCCAGACUCCUACGGGAGGCAGCAGUGGGGAAUAUUGGACAAUGGGCGCAAGCCUGAUCCAGCCAUACCGCGUGGGUGAAGAAGGCCUUCGGGUUGUAAAGCCCUUUUGUUGGGAAAGAAAAGCAGCAGGUUAAUACCCCGCUGUUCUGACGGUACCCAAAGAAUAAGCACCGGCUAACUUCGUG